UGACAUGGUGCCAACUGCAAUGUCUGAC
rnacentral:piRNA from 1 species